AUCAUUAACCACCAAAAUAGAAAAUAAAAACAAAAACCCUGCUGACUUUCUACCCAACUUCACCCCUACCAAACCACUGUUAAAAAUUGCCAGAAACACCUUAAAAAUCUAAGCAAUUGAAGUGUUUAUACAUCAAUCAAAACAUCUGGGAUCGAAGUAAGGCUCUUUGAAAUUCGACAUUUAUACAGAAAAUUGCUCAUAAAUGACAUGUGAGCGAAAAUGGCGACUAAUGACAAGCCCUACUGUGGAGAAUUUGCAACAAGAGGCAGUUCCUAUGGUGGUUGUGGUCUAGCAUCAAACCCUGCAGAUUGGGGUGAUGAUUUGCAGGAAGUUGUAGAUCAAAUGGCAAGCAAACUAUGUGAAAGAGAUUUAUGAAAAGAACCCAAGUUUCAGAUUUUUGGUCUCUACUGCUUAUAUAUGUGUGUAAUACUUGUUACAACAAUCUUGUAUUUAGUACACAGCUCCAAGAAAGUCGAUUACUACAGAUGAAGUAUUCUCGUAAUUUUUGAUAAGAUGGUUUGGUAGGGGUGAAGUUGGUAGAAAGUCGACUACUACUCAAUCUUUUUUGUCUGUUUAAUGAAUAAAUUGAAAAAUAAUGUUUAGGGUGUGUAAAA